UAGUCUUCCUUAUCCUUUCCAUCCUUACUCCUGAGCCACAAAGCUCACCUCCUUUUUUGCUCUCUCUCUCUCUCUCUCUCUCGUUCAUCUCACGGAGGGUGCCGCACCUAAGUCCCAACUCUGCAUGCGAGAGGAGUCUGGUGUCUGAGCCUCUCCGCCAAAGGAAAAAAAACUGAGGAUGCCUUCCAGGCCAUGAAUCGGCUGUACCCUUAAGCCAGUGCCCGCGGCGGCUCUCUACGCACCUCGACUGCACAUGUCCACAUCCACUCCUGUAGCGCCGACCUCAUGCUCGGUCCGUUGCUCUUCCUGCUCAACAACAAGAUCCAGUGAAGUGAGAUACGCUGCUUGGUUUCUUCCUCAGAUCCGACGAAGUGGGGGGGGGGGGCCAGGGUCACCCACAUCCGCCAAGGCGUCGCUCCACCAACGUUUUGUUUUAGAAUAGAGCAAGAAGAAUCCAUGAAUUUAUUGGUUUGAUUUUAGGAGUCUCAUCUUUACUGUCUUCUAAGUCGAGUUACUCUAUGAUUUAGUGAAGAUUUUAGAAGACACGAGCGAUAAGGACUCUGGUAGUUACAUAGUGCGAUCCCCGUAUCUUGAUUUUGAUUCGGUCUAGUUAUCCAACAUCGUUUCGAUUUGGUCAGAUUUUUUUCCUUC